rnacentral:rRNA from 1 species
UACAGAGGUCCCGAGCGUUGUUCGGAUUCACUGGGCGUAAAGGGUGCGCAGGUGGGCUGGUAAGUUCGAUGUGAAAGCCCCGGGCUUAACCCGGGAAAGGCAUUGGAUACUACUGGUCUGGAGGAUCGGAGGGGGGACUGGAAUUCUUGGUGUAGCAGUGAAAUGCGUAGAUAUCAAGAGGAACACCAGUGGCGAAGGCAAGUCCCUGGACGAUACCUGACACUGAGGCACGAAAGCCAAGGGAGCAAACAGG